CAGUCGCCGCGGUAAUGCGAAGGGGGCUAGCGUUGCUCGGAAUGACUGGGCGUAAAGGGCGCGUAGGCGGAUGGCACAGUCAGAUGUGAAAUUCCCGGGCUUAACCUGGGGGCUGCAUUUGAUACGUGUUGUCUAGAGUGAGGAAGAGGGUCGUGGAAUUCCCAGUGUAGAGGUGAAAUUCGUAGAUAUUGGGAAGAACACCGGUGGCGAAGGCGGCGACCUGGUCCUUUACUGACGCUGAGGCGCGAAAGCGUGAGGAGCAAACAGGAUUAGAUACCCCUGUAGUCCCUGUCUCUUAUAC
rnacentral:rRNA from 1 species